AAACCUACUUCUCUGUUAGCCAUGACGCACUACUCCCGAAAGCCGCAGGUGUCGUCGAAGAGCGCCAAGGCGAAGGUUAGCGACCUCCGCUGCCACUACAAGAACACCUUCGAGACCGCAAAUGUAAUCAACGGCAUGCCGCUUCGCAAGGCUCAGCAGCUGUACCGUCAGGUGCUCGCCAAGACCCGCUGCAUCCCGUUCAAGCGCUACAACGGCAAGAUCGGCCGCACCGCUCAGGCGAAGGAGUGGGGCCAGACCAAGGGCCGCUGGCCGCGCAAGUCCGUCGUGGCGAUGAUGUCGCUGCUCAAGAACGCCGAGGCCAACGCCAUCGAGAAGGGUCUUGACCCCAACCAGAUGGUCAUCAAGCACGUCCAGGUGGACCAGGCUGCCCGCAUGCGCCGCCGCACGUACCGUGCCCACGGUCGCAUCACGCCGUACAUGUGCAGCCCCUGCCACGUGCAGCUGUUCAUGUCGGAGAAGAAGGAGCGCGUCCCGGCCCCGAAGAGCGCCCCCAAGAAGUAAGCGCACGGUGACGUACGGAAAGCGACUCGGGUAGAGCCUUCAGGGGUGACGAUGCUGCUAUGCAGAGAUGAGCGGAUGGAGGAGCGAGGCACACACGUUCGCGAGGGCAGCUUGAUGCGACCGAGAGAUAUGUGAGCGAGCCAGCAACUCGCGUCCGUGAGCAGCAUCGGUAAACAUUCUCUCGUCCUUUCUUCCUUCUCAUCUCUCUCUUCGGUUCGCUUCUUCCUGAGUUGUGUCUGCAUUUUUGGCCUCCCUGGACCGCCAUCACCGCUGAGCUGGAUGUCGCAUCACCUCCGCCGUCCCGGUGGCUACUUCCCGUGUUCAGUUCUUCCGCCCCUUCCCCCCUCCACCUCCCACCACACGUGCACCGAGCUCAACCGCGAAGAGGUUUCUUUGCUUUUCCUUUAUUUUCUUCUUUCGGCGUACUUUCACGAGCUAGAAAUGGAAAAGCGAAACAAACGUGAAAACAGGGAAGACACGGGCAAGAGAACACUAGGACAACUGCGUGGCGCAGCGGCUAGGCUUCCCGCCUGUCUUCCCCACUUGUCUUUGUUGAUCGCGUCCUGUGCUCAUUUACGUGCUGGCGCCGUCCGGGCCACUGCACUUCAGAGUGAGGUCUCUGCCACCCAUGGGAGCCAGAGCCCCGCCGCUUCCCUCCUACACCGCGCUUUGGCUGCCCGUCGUCGUGUCGAUCCGCCUUCCUGCCUGGGUCGCCACUCCAUCCGCUCUGAAAGGGCAAGGUGAACGACACGAACGCAGGAGUGUGAGGAAUGCGGCGACCAGAGCGAGGAGAAGGGAGGAGCUCCCUUGGCGCAACAGGCUGAUUCUCUUGCCGUGUGUCGCGUUGUGCUACCUCUUCCCACCUUUCCUUGCAUCUCCAUCCCAUCUUCCCAAUCUCUUCAG
rnacentral:misc_RNA from 1 species